rnacentral:misc_RNA from 1 species
AGGAAAAUGCUGCGUUGUAUUUUGAACAUAGUUUUAUUUUGGGUCUCUUUUAACCAAAUAUCACCAAGAACAAUUCAGCAUUGGGAAAAUAUUGAUGGCAAUGGUGGAGGAACUCUGUAUUACCAAGUGGCACGUUUUCAGGAUUCGUGCAUCCUCGAAACAAUUCAGCAGACAAUUAAGGACCUCACACAUGCCUUAAACUCUGGCAGUCCAAAUUGUAUAAAGUUUGAAGAGAUAGAGGGAUUUGGAGGCGGUCAUUUUUAUGUUUGGUUUAAAAGUUCUGGAAGCUGUGACAUUCCAAACUUUGAAACGAAUUCACUCUCACAAAGAAUUGAAGUUCCAAUAAAUAUUGAUUGCAUCGAUAAAAGGAAGCUAAUGUACAGCUUAGCAAGAAUCCUUGGAUUACCAGACGAACACACUCGAGCAGACAGGGACAAGUAUCUGACAAUACACUGGGAUAAUAUUAAACAACAUUCACACCGGAGCAACCUCUACAACAAGUCAGCCCCUGACGUUUGGGACACUAUCCUUCAGAUGCCGUACGAUUAUACCUCUAUUACUCACGUUGGACCAUUCGAAAACGCUCUAGAUAGCAGAAAGCCAACGGUGUCUACUAAAUACCCAGGGGUGUAUUUUGGUGACCAUAUGAACCUGAGUGUUAUUGAUGUCCAAAAAAUUAGAAUGCUUUAUCGCUGUCAACAAAGUAUGUGUGAACAACUAGUUUCUUUACACAAAAGUAUCGCCCAGUCCAUUGCACGUUCGAUCUUCCUCUGUGUGGCUUGGUCAAUGACUGGAAAUCGUCUGGUGACAAGUGGACAGAGAGAACAGGACCGGUGUCUGACAGAGGCCCACAGACGGACCACUCUAACGGGGCUGGUGAGGAAAACACCCCAUGAUUAUCCUUAUAACAGUCUUAAAUAUGAAACAAUAGCUUUAUGA